rnacentral:tRNA from 1 species
GGUGAAAUGGCUGAUAAUAAGCAAUAAACUGUAAAUUUAUUUAUGAAUAUUAAAUUCUUUCACCA